GACGAACGCUGGCGGCGUGCUUAACACAUGCGAGUCGAACGGAAAGGCCCUGCUUUUGUGGGGUGCUCGAGUGGCGAACGGGUGAGUAACACGUGAGUAACCUGCCCUUGACUUUGGGAUAACUUCAGGAAACUGGGGCUAAUACCGGAUAGGAGCUCCUGCUGCAUGGUGGGGGUUGGAAAGUUUCGGCGGUUGGGGAUGGACUCGCGGCUUAUUAGCUUGUUGGUGGGGUAGUGGCUUACCAAGGCUUUGACGGGUAGCCGGCCUGAGAGGGUGACCGGCCACAUUGGGACUGAGAUACGGCCCAGACUCCUACGGGAGGCAGCAGUGGGGAAUAUUGCACAAUGGGCGGAAGCCUGAUGCAGCAACGCCGCGUGCGGGAUGACGGCCUUCGGGUUGUAAACCGCUUUCGCCUGUGACGAAGCGUGAGUGACGGUAAUGGGUAAAGAAGCACCGGCUAACUACGUG
rnacentral:rRNA from 1 species